GAUGAACGCUGGCAGCGUGCCUAAUACAUGCAAGUCGAGCGAACGGACGAGAAGCUUGCUUCUCUGAUGUUGGCGGCGGACGGGUGAGUAACACGUGGAUAACCUACCUAUAAGACUGGGAUAACUUCGGGAAACCGGAGCUAAUACCGGAUAAUAUUUUGAACCGCAUGGUUCAAAAGUGAAAGACGGUCUUGCUGUCACUUAUAGAUGGAUCCGCGCUGCAUUAGCUAGUUGGUAAGGUAACGGCUUACCAAGGCAACGAUGCAUAGCCGACCUGAGAGGGUGAUCGGCCACACUGGAACUGAGACACGGUCCAGACUCCUACGGGAGGCAGCAGUAGGGAAUCUUCCGCAAUGGGCGAAAGCCUGAUGGAGCAACGCCGCGUGAGUGAUGAAGGUCUUCGGAUCGUAAAACUCUGUUAUUAGGGAAGAACAUAUGUGUAAGUAACUGUGCACAUCUUGACGGUACCUAAUCAGAAAGCCACGGCUAACUACGUG
rnacentral:rRNA from 1 species